UCUUCAUUUUCUUCAUGUUUGUUAUAAAUUUGUAUCUUAACAGUAGUCAUCUUAUUAUUAAUUUCCUGAUAUAUCUUUCGAGUUUUUCUUUAUUUUUCUCAAUUUAUAAAAAUCGUUUUAAAAUUGUCGAUAAUGGGUGAAAAUUUAAGAGAAAAUCUCAUUUUGGGAAUAGGAAAUCCACUACUCGAUAUAUCAGCAACAGUUGAUGAGGAUUUUUUAAAAAAAUACAAAUUAAAAGCAAACGAUGCAAUAUUGGCUGAUGAUUUUCAUAAGCCACUUUACGAUGAAUUGGUUGAACAAUAUAAAGCAGAUUUUAUAGCCGGUGGUGCCGUACAAAAUACAAUGCGAGUUGCGCAGUGGUUUUUAGAAAAACCGCGCGUUUGCAUUUACAUGGGCUGUGUUGGUAAGGAUAAAUAUUCAAAAAUUUUACAAGAACGCGCACAAGAAGAUGGCUUAAAUGUUCGCUAUCAAUAUACGGAUAAGGAACAAACAGGAACAUGUGCCGUUUUAAUAACAGGCAAAGAGCGUUCAUUGUGCGCUAAUUUAGCGGCAGCAAAUUUAUUUUCACCAACUCAUAUUGCCGAGCCGGAAAAUAAAAUACUCAUUGAGAAAGCACAAUUUUACUAUGUUUCUGGAUUUUUCUUGACAGUAAGUCCCGAAUCAAUUCAAUCAGUUGCAAAACAUGCGUGCGAUGAAAAUAAAAUAUUUACAAUGAAUUUAAGUGCACCAUUUUUGUGUAAACUUUUUAAAAAACCAAUGCGCGAUGCAUUGCCAUAUGUUGAUAUUUUAUUUGGCAAUGAAUCAGAAUGUGAGGCAUUUUCAGAGGCAAAUAAUUUAAAUACAAGUGAUUUAAUUGAAAUUGGAUUGAAAAUAUCACAAAUGGAGAAAAAAAAUACAAAAAGAAAACGUAUUGUUAUUAUAACACAGGGAGCGGGUGCUGUUAUUUUAAUAAAAGACAAUAAAAUUACUGAAUUUAAUGUGCCAAAAAUAUCUGAAGAAAAAGUUGUCGAUACAAAUGGCGCUGGCGAUGCAUUCGUUGGUGGUUUCUUGGCGCAAUACGUUCAGAAUGAAAAUUUGGAAACAUGUAUAAAAUGUGGCAUAUGGGCAGCUUCGGAAAUUAUACAACGUUCCGGUUGUACUUAUGAGGGGAGACCAAAUUUUUCCGUUAAUACAAAAUAAUUGCAAAAUAAUUAUAUGGAGCGGCGCAAAAUUUAGAAGAGAGAAAUAAUAAUUGAUCCAGUGACACGGCAGUUGCAUUCUGACUUGAGUUCUUUGCUUCGAGGUGUUCUGAACAAUUUCACGAGCGAAAAAAGGACAAGUAAAAGAUAUUAAGAAACAUCUUUAACGUUUCGGAAUCGGUACCGAUUCCCUCAGCAGAAUUUAUUUCAUCUAAAAGAGUAAUGUUACAAUUAGAACUAAUAAUAAUAAUAGUAAAGCAAAAAUCAUAAAUUUAUAUUAAUAUUAUAAAAUAUAGAUAUUGGACUUAA